rnacentral:rRNA from 1 species
GUCGGGAAUUUUGGGCAAUGGGCGCAAGCCUGACCCAGCAACGCCGCGUGAAGGAUGAAAUCCCUCGGGAUGUAAACUUCGCAAGAACAGGAAGAAUAAGCUCGUGUUAAUAGCACGAGUGAUGACGGUACUGUUUGUAAGCUCCGGCUAACUCCGUGCCAGCAGCCGCGGUAAUACGGGGGGAGCAAGCGUUGUUCGGAUUUACUGGGCGUAAAGGGCGCGUAGGCGGUCAGUGCAAGUCAGUUGUGAAAUCUCCGGGCUUAACUCGGAAAGGUCAACUGAUACUGCUCGACUAGAGUGCGGAAGGGGCAACUGGAAUUCUUGGUGUAGCGGUGAAAUGCGUAGAUAUCAAGAGGAACACCUGCGGCGAAGGCGGGUUGCUGGGCCGACACUGACGCUGAGGCGCGAAAGCUAGGGGAGCGAACGGGAUUAGAAACCCCAGUAGUCC